rnacentral:rRNA from 1 species
CCUACGGGUGGCUGCAGUGAGGAAUAUUGGUCAAUGGGCGCGAGCCUGAACCAGCCACGUAGCGUGAGGGAUGACUGCCCUACGAGUUGUAAACUUCUUUUUUAAAGGAGUAAAUUGAGGCACGUAUGCAUUCAUGUAUUUACUUUAUGUAUUAGGAUAGGCGAACUUCGUUCCAUCAGCCGCGGUACUACAGAGGGUACGAGCGUUAUCCGGAUGUAUUGGAUUUAACGGGAGCGUAGAGGGGUUGUUAAGUCAGAUGUGAAAGGUUGCGGCUCAACCGUGAAAUGGCAAUUGAUACUGGCAGCCUUGAGUACAGAUGAGGUAAGCGGAAUUCGUGGUGUAGCGGUGAAAUGCUUAGAGAUCACGAAGAACUCCGAUGGCGAAGGCAGCUUUCUAAUCUGCCACUGACAUUGAUGCUCGAAAGUGUGGGUAUCAAACAGGAUUAGAUACCCGAGUAGUC